GCGCACAGCCAUUUAUUGAAUGAAUGAAUGAGUGUGUACAAAAUACAUACAUACGGCGUGGCGCGUCUGGUUUCAUGUGUGCGCUGUAUUGUUACUCGUGCCAUGUGGUUGCUAUUUAAACGUUCCUGCUUGUUCCUACUUGAUGUGUACAUAUAUUCGUUUAAAUACAUACAUUUUGAUUUUUAAAUAAACACAAUGCCGAAAGUUCGUACGCAAGUUACGGCUCGUGUUCACAAAGAAGUAGCUAGACAAGGUAUCUUGUUUAAUAAGGAUUUUGGUCAACACAUUUUGAAGAAUCCGUUAAUCAUACAAAAUAUGGUAGAAAAAGCUGCACUCAGGCCAACCGAUGUUAUAUUGGAAGUUGGUCCUGGUACAGGUAAUAUGACGAUAAAACUGCUAGAAAAAGCAAAAAAAGUUAUAGCAUACGAAGUAGAUCCAAGAUUAGUAGCGGAAUUACAAAAACGUGUUCAAGGAACACUGUAUCAGCCAAAAUUAGAAAUAAUGGUUGGAGAUGUAUUAAAGUCAGAUUUACCCUUUUUUGAUUUGUGUGUUGCUAACAUACCAUAUCAGAUAUCGUCGCCGUUAGUGUUCAAACUACUUUUGCACAGACCAUUAUUCAGAUGUGCUGUACUUAUGUUUCAAAGAGAAUUUGCAGAGCGUUUGGUAGCUAAACCUGGUGACAAAUUGUAUUGUCGCUUGAGCAUUAACACACAAUUAUUGGCACGAGUAGAUAUGCUGAUGAAAGUCGGAAAGAAUAAUUUUAAGCCUCCACCUAAGGUAGAAUCAAAUGUAGUAAGAAUUGAGCCAAGAAAUCCAUCACCACCGAUCAAUUAUCAAGAAUGGGAUAGUCUGACAAGAAUUGCAUUUCUCAGAAAAAAUAAGACUCUCUCUGCAGCCUUCAAGCAAAACACAGUUACCACUAUGUUGGAAAAGAAUUAUAAGAUUCAUUGUUCUUUGAAUAACAAGACAAUUUUGAUAUCAAACAAUUGGCAGACCACAUUUUAAAAAAAACAAAAGCAGAAAACAAACGAGCCAGGACUAUGGACAUACCUGAUUUUAUCAAGCUUUUACAUGCAUUCAAUGCAGAAGGCGUACAUUUUGCAUAAAUUAUACUAGUCUAUCUAUUACUUGUUAAUAAGUUAGGAAUUUUUAUAGGAAAGUAUGUAAAAUAUAACAAAUAUAUUUUGUUAGAACAGCAAAUCUCUCUGGUAACCUUUUUAUUUAAAAUAACUGAAUUUGUUAUACAUAUCGAGGCCAUUUAAAUGAUCGUUUAUUUAAGAUCAAUUUGAUUAUACAUAAUAGUUCUAAAUCAUAUAUAAAAAGAAAUCGAGAACUCUUCUACGAGAUUUCUACCGUGUAUAAUAUUAAUUCUACACUAUGCACAUAUAAUUCAAACUUUAAUAUCUACUAUUAAUGUAAAUUUUAUUACAUUGAACUGACAAUCCGUAGAUCGGAUUAUAUUUCAGACAUAAUUUUGAUUAUGGAUAUUUGAUUAUAUAUGCCGUGCCAUUUUUCAAUAUUCAACUUCAUCUUGGUCUCCUAAUUUAUAUUCGUAAAAAUGUAUAUAUUAAUGAGACUGUUGUAAAGAUUUUAUCUAUCCACUUUUUAUCAAUAUGACAAAUGCUAACUAUAUUGCUAUAUCAUAUAAAAACAUCUACUUACUAUUUUGUAUGAUUUACUUCAGUGUAUGAUUAGAAGAAUGAUGCAAAUAGUUAUUUUUCAAACCAAACUCGGAGACACUACAAUUACUGGUAAAAAUCAUUACCGAUACAAUUAAUAUUAAUAAAAAUUAAUAUGAUCAAUAAAGGAAUAACCAUUCAAGUGCAUUACACUUCAAUGUACAAUGAUUGGAAAAUUUGAUAAUAUAAAUUACAUAUGAAAAGAUGGAAUUAAAUGACUGUCUCGCUAAGAUUGAAGUUGCAGGUCAAGUUAGAUUAAC
rnacentral:misc_RNA from 1 species